CCUACGGGUGGCAGCAGUGGGGGAUAUUGCACAAUGGGGGAAACCCUGAUGCAGCGACGCCGCGUGGGUGAAGAAGUAUUUCGGUAUGUAAAGCCCUAUCAGCAGGGAAGAAAGAAGACGGUACCUGACUAAGAAGCCCCGGCUAACUACGUGCCAGCAGCCUCGGUAAUACGUAGGGGGCGCGCGUUAUCCGGAUUCACUGGGUGUAAAGGGAUCGUAGACGGCCGUGCAAGCCAGGGGGGAAAGCCCGGGGCCCAACCCCGGGACUGCUCUUGGAACUGGGCGGCUGGAGUGCGGGGGGGGCAGGCGGAAUGCCUGGUGUAGCGGUGAAAUGCGUAGAUAUCAGGAGGAACACCGGCGGCGAAGGCGGCCUGCUGGACCGCGACUGACGUUGAGGCUCGAAAGCGUGGGGAGCGAACAGGAUUAGAUACCCUUGUAGUC
rnacentral:rRNA from 1 species